rnacentral:rRNA from 1 species
UACGUAGGGUGCGAGCGUUGUCCGGAAUUAUUGGGCGUAAAGAGCUUGUAGGCGGUCUGUCGCGUCUGCUGUGAAAAUCCGGGGCUCAACCCCGGACUUGCAGUGGGUACGGGCAGACUAGAGUGUGGUAGGGGAGACUGGAAUUCCUGGUGUAGCGGUGAAAUGCGCAGAUAUCAGGAGGAACACCGGUGGCGAAGGCGGUUCUCUGGGCCUUACCUGACGCUGAGGAGCGAAAGCGUGGGGAGCGAGCAGG